AUUGAACGCUGGCGGCAGGCCUAACACAUGCAAGUCGAGCGGAUGAAGGGAGCUUGCUCCUGGAUUCAGCGGCGGACGGGUGAGUAAUGCCUAGGAAUCUGCCUGGUAGUGGGGGAUAACGUCCGGAAACGGGCGCUAAUCCCGCAUCCGUCCUGAGGGAGAAAGUGGGGGAUCUUCGGACCUCACGCUAUCUGCUGAGCCUAGGUCGGAUUAGCUAGUUGGUUGGGUAAAGGCCUACCAAGGCGACGAUCCGUAACUGGUCUGAGAGGAUGAUCAGUCACACUGGAACUGAGACACGGUCCAGACUCCUACGGGAGGCAGCAGUGGGGAAUAUUGGACAAAGGGCGAAAGCCUGAUCCAGCCAUGCCGCGUGUGUGAAGAAGGUCUUCGGAUUGUAAAGCACUUUAAGUUGGGAGGAAGGGCAGUAAGUGAAUACCUGGCUGUUUUGACGGUACCAACAGAAUAAGCACCGGCUAACUUCGUG
rnacentral:rRNA from 1 species